UCCCCUAGUGAGCGGAGAAUCAGAUUUGACCACUACCUGAUCCCCUUCACCCUGUAUGAGUUGGGUCUACUCUACAAACAACAGGGGGACUUCAUCAAGGCCACACGAUACAUAGAGAACGCCAAGUUGAACUACAAGGACUACUCCAUGGAGUCCAGGCUUCACUUCCGGAUCCACGCAGCUCUCAACAGUCUCAAGGGAUCGCCUGUCAGCACACCAUAACUACAGCCCAACUACAGCCCAACUACAGCCCAACUACAAUCAGACUACAACCGAUUUUACACCAUAACUACAGCCCAACUACAAUCGAUUUUACACCAUAACUACAGCCCAACUACAAUCGAUUUUACACCAAAACUACAGUCCAACUACUAGAAUCAGACUACAUCAUAAUUAGACAAACUCUCCAAUCAACACGCUAGGACCACAACGCGCUAGGACCACAACGCGCUAGGACCACAACGCGCUAGGACCACAACGCGCUAGGACCACAACGCGCUAGGACCACAACGCGCUAGGACUACAACACACUAGGACUACAACCCCCAAGCUACACUCUGACAACUUUUUAAAUAAACCCCAACAAAAAGAAAGGAAGUUAUUCUUCGUAUAAUUAAUUAAAAUGCCUUUUAUUUGUAUGGAAUGUUCAAUAGAAACAAAGUUGUAAAAAUCCGACGCGUUUCGGCUGCAUGGCCUUCGUCAGGCAGUACAAAUAAAUAAUACAAUGUC